UAGGACUUCCUGCUUACACAUCCUGUCUACGCUAUCAUCGCAAGUCUCCUGAGGAUCAACCUCUGUGAGAAUGUUUCUGGCAUCUACUUCAUUCUCAUUUCUCACUGGCCUCUGGCGCUAGCUCAAAAGGAAUCCUGGCCAAGUGUACACACGCCACAUACCUAAGCACGGGGGAGAGAAGUGACUCCAACUAGACCAAGGCCCAUGAUGGAGAUGGGAAGCGAAUUGGCAGCGAUCAAAAAUGAUUUUUAAAAGAGAGGUUUAAAAAAUUUAGCCUGCGCUGAGGAGCCAAUGCCAAUUAUUUUAUGUCUGAAUUUCAUCACUGCAGGAGUUUACUCAAAAAGUGAACUCACAGGAUAGAGAAUAACUAGGGUAUACAAUGAGAUGCUGACAAGACUCAGUGAGCCACAGGAAAGUUACGGAUAAGAGCCUUCCAAGCAGGAGGAGGAGCAGGAGCCUGCUUGUCAUGGUUAGGAAUGAGAAAAACGGCCAGGACAGCUCACACCCACUGAGUGAACAGAGAGAAGGCAGGAGCCAAAUGAAGCAAGGCCAUGGGAAAAGCUCUCUCACCCGAAGGAUUUUAACUAGAGGAUACCUCGAUCCAUCUUGUGCUUUUAAAAGAUCAGUUUGGCUGUCACGCAACAACUGAACAAGACAUGGGCAGAGACCGUGAGAAAGCCACCAGAGCAGUCCAGGGUGACAGGACAGUGGUCUGGACUAGACGUCCGGAGCUGAGACAACGCAGAACAUGCUUGGAGAGAGAACUGAGAAAGUUUCCUAAGGGAUUGGAUGUGGAGCUGAUGGGAGAUUUAACAACUCUGAGAUUUCAGACUUGACAAACAGGUGGUGCUGCUCUUUGAGAUGGAAAACACUGGGAGAGAAACACAUUUGGAGAAAAAAUGAAGGACUUUGCUUUGGACCUUAUUACAUUUGAGAUUGCAGUUAAAUACCUAAUGGAGACAGCAAAUAGGCAGUGAGACAUAAGUUGAGAGCUCGGUCAAAAGUAUGAGUCAACCACAUAGAAAAGGUAUUCAGUGAGGUGAUCGAUGAGAUCUUCUAGGGAACACGUGAAAAUUCAAAGGGAUGCCAAAAAAGUCCUGGAGCAGACGACAUUUAAGGUUGGACAGGAGAUGCAGAGAGAAGGGGAAAGCCAACCUGAGGCCCAAACAGUAACAUGAUGGUGAGAGUGACAGACAGACAGAGGUUAAAGGAAUGAGCAGCAGUGCUCGAGGCUGGGGCAGCACUCGUCAGGCACAGCCGUAACCAUCCGAUCACAGGAUUACCACAGCGGGACCUUCUGGAGCUUUCCUACCUCCUCGGGACUUCUUGUUAAACACUGUCUUCCCAAUAGCUAAGAAGAUAAGAGUUCUCAAAUAUGGCUCAGAAUGUGAGCUAUCUGAGUACGAGAGAAUACUGACAUAGUCUGGGUGACAGUCGAAGAGACAGGAGCUAUGAAGAUAUUUUCAAAGAAUAAAAUACUAACAGACAUAGAAGCAGUAGCAAGAGAGGAAGGAGACAGGGUACACAAGGUGAUGCCCCAGAGGCCAGGACAGAGAACUGGACGUGCAACAACAGCAGUAAUAAAAAUGGGAAAACUGAGGAAGAAGAGUGAUUUUGGAACGAGUUCCUUCCCAUUUCUGAAACGGAGAAUGAAGAGUGGGAAAGCAUGGGGGCUGUCCUGCAAGGAGGUAAAACCCAGGACCAGAAGGCAGAAGAAAAAGGGGAUGAGGAUGUCAAAUUUGACGUUACAACAUGGGGAGAAAAAAAGCUGAAAUUUCAGAAUGGAAAAGCCUUUCAGUACUUACAACAUGGGAGAGAACAGCUGAAUUUGGGAAACAAAGCCCUUAGGACAAAUUGAAAGGGAAGAGUAAGAGGAACCAGGAAAUGUUAGGUGAUAAAAUCAUUUAAUGAUACAGAUGAGACCAGGCCAGGGUUCAGGAUUCUUUUAAGAAAAGUGCCCGAGACUGGACCAGCCCCAUGGCCUAGUGGUUAUGUUCAGUGUGCUCCACUUUGGCAGCCCAGGUUCCGUUCCAGGGCACGAACCCACACCACUCAUUGGCACCCAUGUUGAGGUGGCAACUCACAUACAAAAUAGAGGAAAAGUGGCACAGAUGUUAGCUCAGGGUGAAUCUUCCUCAGCAAAAAAAAAACAGUGCCCAAGAAAGUAACAGUGAUCAGCAUAAGAAGAGAGAAGGAAGCAAUGAAAUCUCAUAAGAUACUCAAGACGACAGCAGGAAGUAAAGACUGUGGGUAAAUUCUGAGGGAUCUGCCUGAGGAAGGCAAAAGAGAAAGUAAAUGUAAGGGAUGCAGAGGCCAUGAAUCACACCGAGUGAGAGGAAGGAGAAACUCUCUGAAGACCCAGAGCCUGAUGCAGUGCACGCCCAUGGGAGGGCAGACAGAGGAAGAA